GCUCCUCAUUCUUCCUCUGAAUAUUACACACUGGACCUUUAAAAUGCAUAAACUGUCACAUUUCAAAUGAAAUAAUAUCAGAACUGACUGCAGAGUUGAAUGUCCCGGAGUUCGGUUUGCAGGUCGGUGACCAGUGAGUGGUGUGACGCUGAACUUGAACGUCUGUAAUUACUGCAGCGGUGACAGAAACUGGAGCUGACUGUGAGGCUGUGCUCAGUCUGCAGCUGGAUAUGUUCACUUCACUGUGAAGAUAACUCAUCUUACAUGGACUAAAAUAUGAAAGUAGAUCAAGUUGAUGAAUUGUAACUUGACUUUUGACUGAUUUUACUGUCAUUUGAAAACCCAGAUGCCUCACAAGGCGAACAGCAGGUGUCUCCAUGGGGUUCCUGAGACUCUUUGUCCAGCUGUUGUUCAGUGUAGGCUGGUAGAUCUGCUGCUGCAGGUUCCAGUGGAAAAACUGGUCCCACAGUUACUGCUCACCACGCACCAGGGAAUCCAUCUGGAAUAUUUUGUGUUUACCUGUAGGGAACGGUGCAAACACCAGAUGUGAAUCCCGACGUUUAAAGGACAAAGUAAAGACGUGACCUUCAUCAUAGUGGCUGCAGUGUUGUCCCCAGACUGUGCGUCCUGGGUGGAUGUGGACAUUACAGAUCAAGUGCUGCCACCCAGUGGAUUAUUUCAUACUUCAACUCAAAUGUUUGAUUACACCAAUGCAUAAGAUCAAGAUCCUUACCGGGAUCAAGAACAGAGGGUCCUAUUACAUUUGUUAUAUGUUAUGUCAUUUUUCUUUUUAAUUUUUUAUUUAUUUUUUUUAGGUUUUUUUUUUUCUUUCCAAACAUAAAAUAACAGGCUUCAAAGCAAUAGAGGCUUCUGACCCAGCAAUGAUGAUUAAGCACAAGGCUGUUUUCUUUUAGAGGAUUACUAAACUACAUAAUGAAACAUGAAUGCUUAUCUAAUUCUACUGCUUUGAUGAGACAAAUAUCAAAAAGACAUGCAAAAAGAAGUGUAUUUGAAGCAUUAGGUGAGUGUGUUAGAGAGUGCUGUACAGAGACACACUCUGUAUAUGUAUGUGCAUGAACAGUAUGUUUAAGUCAACCUGAAUGUGGUAUUUUUUUACCUUGAGGCUGCAUGUCCAAAAGUUUUCAACUUUCUCUGGCAAACAGAUUUUACCCAAGUGAUUAUUAUAUUAUAGCCCCAUGUACUGUAAUAUUUUUGGUUCUUUUCUUUAUGAUAAAAACUGUACAGAUUUCUAAUGAAUGUACUGUACUUUAUAUCACUCGGUUUGAUUCCAUGUAUAAUUUAUCAGUUUUUCUGUGUAUUUAUUUGAUCAUGAAACCUGUGUCUGUUGAAACACAUUUCAUUUUAAUUCAGAAUAAACAUGUACAAUAACACUG